UACGUAGGGGGCGAGCGUUGUCCGGAUUUAUUGGGCGUAAAGAGCGUGUAGGCGGCCAGGUAGGUCUGCUGUGAAAACUCGAGGCUCAACCUCGAGACGUCGGCGGAAACCAUCUGGCUAGAGUCCGGAAGAGGAGAGUGGAAUUCCUGGUGUAGCGGUGAAAUGCGCAGAUAUCAGGAGGAACACCAGUGGCGAAGGCGGUGGUCUGGGCCGGAACUGACGCUGAGGAGCGAAAGCGUGGGUAGCAAACAGG
rnacentral:rRNA from 1 species